CGGGGAGGUAGUGACGAAAAAUAACGAUACGGGACUCAUCCGAGGCCCCGUAAUCGGAAUGAGUAAACUCUAAAUCCUUUUGCAAGGACCCAUUGGAGGGCAAGUCUGGUGCCAGCAGCCGCGGUAAUUCCAGCUCCAAUAGCGUAUAUUAAAGUUGUUGCGGUUAAAAAGCUCGUAGUCGAAUCUGUGUCUCGCGCCGCUGGUUCAUCGCUCGCGGUGUUCAACUGGCGUGUCUCGCGAGACGUCCUGCCGGUGGGCUUUCGAAUUGAUUCGCUUCGUGCGGUCGUUCGGAGCCCAACUCGUAUCCGUUUUGCGCGGGUGCGAAUCCCAUCGCGGUGCUCUUUACUGAGUGUCGAGGUGGGCCGGCACGUUUACUUUGAACAAAUUAGAGUGCUUAAAGCAGGCCAAUUUUGCCUGAAUAUUGUGUGCAUGGAAUAAUAGAAUAGGACCUCGGUUCUAUUUUGUUGGUUUUCGGAACCCCGAGGUAAUGAUUAAUAGGAACGGAUGGGGGCAUUCGUAUUGCGACGUUAGAGGUGAAAUUCUUGGAUCGUCGCAAGACGGACAGAAGCGAAAGCAUUUGCCAAAAACGUUUUCAUUGAUCAAGAACGAAAGUUAGAGGCUCGAAGGCGAUCAGAUACCGCCCUAGUUCUAACCAUAAACGAUGCCAGCUAGCGAUCCGCCGACGUUCCUCCGAUGACUCGGCGGGCAGCUUCCGGGAAACCAAAGCUUUUGGGUUCCGGGGGAAGUAUGGUUGCAAAGCUGAAACUUAAAGGAAUUGACGGAAGGGCACCACCAGGAGUGGAGCCUGCGGCUUAAUUUGACUCAACACGGGAAACCUUACCAGGCCC
rnacentral:rRNA from 1 species